rnacentral:rRNA from 1 species
UACGUAGGGUGCAAGCGUUAAUCGGAAUUACUGGGCGUAAAGCGUGCGCAGGCGGUUUUGUAAGACAGAGGUGAAAUCCCCGGGCUCAACCUGGGAACUGCCUUUGUGACUGCAAGGCUAGAGUACGGCAGAGGGGGGUGGAAUUCCGCGUGUAGCAGUGAAAUGCGUAGAUAUGCGGAGGAACACCGAUGGCGAAGGCAACCCCCUGGGUCUGUACUGACGCUCAUGCACGAAAGCGUGGGGAGCAAAAAGG